rnacentral:misc_RNA from 1 species
UUAAUAUAACAACGAAGACACUACGCCCAUAGUCGAGAAUUUAAUUUUCGGCGGCGUGCACUGUGGGCCUCCCAGUGCACAGUGAUGUUGCUUGAUUAUCUAUGUUUUAAGCCAUACUUGUUGCUUCGUAACUUGUUGUGCCCAAGACAUGGAGACUCGGGUGACGAUGAGGCAUUGCUGUGGAGGAUGAACCUGUUUCUGUGGAGGACGAAAGGUUGCUGUGGAGAACGAAGAAGCGCUGCGUUGGUUGAUGAAAAUCUUCCAACGAUGUGGUAUUGUGGGUCUCGCAAUGCCAUAUGUCAUGUUACUUGAUGAUCUAUGUUCGAAGCUUUACAUGUUGCUUUUGCGACUUGUUCUGCCUAAAACAUGGUGAAUUGGGUGACGAAGAGACCUUGAUGCGGAGGAGGACGUUGCUGCGGAGGCGGAUGAAGGUGAUGCUGCGUUGGUUGAUGAAAGUCAUCCAACGACGUGGUAUUGUGGGCCUCGCAAUGCCAUAUGUCAUGUUGCUCUGAAUGUCUCGCUUUGAAGCUGUACUUGUUUGUUGUGCUUCAUUUCGGUGAUCUCGUGCAACGACGAGGCAUGUUGGCUUGAUGAAAGUCAUCCAACGACGUGGUAUUGUGAGCCUUGCAAUGCCAUAUGUCACGUUGCUCUGAACGUCUCGCUUUGAAGCUGUACUUGUUUGUUGUGCUUCAUUUCGGUGAUCUCGUGCAAUGUUGAGGCAUGUUGGCUUGAUGAAAGUCAUCCAACGACGUGGUAUUGUGGGCCUCGCAAUGCCAUAUGUAAUGUUGCUCUGAACGUCUCGCUUUGAAGCUGUACUUGUUUGUUGUGCUUCAUUUCGGUGAUCUCGUGCAACGAUGAGGCAUGGUCGCUUACCUUUGUUAUUCUUCUCGUAUCGUUCGGUGCAUUUUGGGGUCAUUUCAGCAUUUUGUUGUUUCCUUGGCUUUUAGCUAGGGUGGUGGCUAAGUGUUGGGUGUCUUCGGGGAUGUCUACCGUAAAGGUGCAUGAGUGGUAUUUGGUUUGUUACGGGUGGUUGGCUCUUGCUUGCGCAACAACUUCCACCUGGCUUACCUCUUCAGUUGCUUGCCAAUGCUUGUAAAGUAUUGGUUGGAUUGUGGGUUUCAUGUGUUGCCUACCGAAUUGAUGGUAUUGUAUUCUGAAAGAAUUCCAUUUUUUCAUCUUGCGUCGCAAAUGCGUUGUGUGAUGAACCUUGAAGCAUUCUUUAUGAUCCACUCUUUUAAUGCUUAGGUGUUAAUUGUGUGGCUCAUUUUGAGUUGCUUGGUAUCUUGGAUAUGGAACCUGANGUGGGCAUGGGAUGUNUAUAUAUCCCUUGGUUGCCCUG